rfam:Dipodomys ordii contig_18743, whole genome shotgun sequence.
GGGAAGGUAGCUCAGUGGUAGAGCUCUUGUCUUGCAUGCAUGAGGCCCUGGGUUCGAUUCCUCAGCACCA